UACUGAUAGAUAAAGAAAGAAAGACUCUACCAAAGGGUAUAUGAUUAAGACCAAUGUAAAAAUAUCAAGAAAAAACAUGGUCUUGUUGGGCUAGGUUUAAACCAGAAUUUAUAGAAAAAUUAAGAGAUUCCCUAGGUGUAGCUAAAAGUGCAUUAUCUUCUUGAUUAAAAGAUAGGAUCUCAGCUAUAGAAAAGGGUUGGUUUUGACCUAUUGCAAUCAACUCCGGACACAGAUCAUAAUUAGGGGCAGGACUUGUUGACUCCCAUGGUCUAUGGCUGGUCUCCGAAGGUGCAAAAAAUUCAAUAAUAGGUAUGGAAUUUGAGUUAUCCAUAGAGAUGAAAAAAAUAAAAAGUUAAAAGAAUAAAAGUAUAAAAGUAUAAUAUAAGAUAAUAGCAAGAUUCAAAGUUAUCUCAGCAAACCGUCUUUCUACCCGGCAACGGCGCCAGAAAUGCUUGUUGAUAUUUGGUAACGCAAUAAGGAAAUGAUCCGCAAGCGCACAGAUAUCGGUGAGCAUUUCACCCGGGAGGUUAUCCAGAGUUAUCGUAUUUAUAUUUUUACCACUGGGAGAAAGGGUGCAUCUGACUAACCAAAUCUAUUGCUACUAUCCCUUUAGGCUACAAAGAAUGUUUCUCGAUGUGAGCGAUGUAUAG
rnacentral:lncRNA from 1 species